GCUUCAAGAGUUCUAGCCCCAAAAAUUUGACUAGCCCUGUACCGAUCAGGUUUCUCCAAGAACUUGACUCAACUCUCUUAGACCUUUCUCUGAACUUCUAAUUCUCCUUCUUUAGGAUCCUCGCAACCCUUAUUAAGAUUAGAUAAGGCUUUGUCUUAAAUCCCAAAGCCUUAUCCUAAAACUAACAUAGGUUGUAAGAAAGAAGAGAGAGCUACGGAGAGAAAUUGGAA
rnacentral:lncRNA from 1 species